rnacentral:rRNA from 1 species
UGGGGAAUAUUGGACAAUGGGCGAAAGCCUGAUCCAGCCAUGCCGCGUGUGUGAAGAAGGCCUUUUGGUUGUAAAGCACUUUAAGUGGGGAGGAAAAGCUUAUGGUUAAUACCCAUAAGCCCUGACGUUACCCACAGAAUAAGCACCGGCUAACUCUGUGCCAGCAGCCGCGGUAAUACAGAGGGUGCAAGCGUUAAUCGGAAUUACUGGGCGUAAAGCGCGCGUAGGUGGUUAUUUAAGUCAGAUGUGAAAGCCCCGGGCUUAACCUGGGAACUGCAUCUGAUACUGGAUAACUAGAGUAGGUGAGAGGGGAGUAGAAUUCCAGGUGUAGCGGUGAAAUGCGUAGAGAUCUGGAGGAAUACCGAAGGCGAAGGCAGCCCCUUGGGAAUGUACUGACGCUCAUGUGCGAAAGCGUGGGGAGCAAACAGGAUUAGAUACCCUGGUAGUCCACGCUGUAAACGCUGUCGAUUUGGGGGUUGGGGUUUAACUCUGGCGCCCGUAGCUAACGUGAUAAAUCGACCGCCUGGGGAGUACGGCCGCAAGGUUA